AGGCAGAGAUCACCCAGGCUCGGCCUGGGUGACUGCAGGUUGGCCGCAGGGAGCAAGGUGGCUCCGGCGGCGUCGGCGGCGCGCGCCGACGGCGGGGGCCGGCGAGGGUCGGCGCCGGAGGUAGCUCUCUGCCACAGGGUGAAGGAUCCUCGGGGCUUCGCGCGUUUCCCUGUGUACUCAGGCCGAGAGGGUGGUGGUUCGGUUGAAAGAGAAAGAUGGAAGGUGGCCGGGUUCCAAUUUUCCGGCGGCCGGGGCACCUGCCGGCGGCCGAGGUGCGCGCAUGGGCUGGGCAGGGACCAGUUAGGGUCGGCUGAGGGAGGGGAAGCUAGGGUUAGGGUUUCCAAGCCAAAAGAAACUAACUUCAACCUAUAAAUGUAGUGUAAUUUGCGGAAAUGUCCUCCAAGAAUCAACAAUUCUAUCCGAGUCCCUCACAGCGCGAGUAAAUCGCGCGGAUACCCCUCCACGACCGAUUUCACGCGAAACGGUACAUAAAAUAUUGCAACUUUUGCGAAGUUUCCGAUUUUGCCAAUUCGACCCCUCAGCGAACAUUUCGCGUUUCCCGAAAAUCCGUCCGUCGGAUUUUCAAUCCGACAGCACCAUUGCGUUCAGCACGUCGGGUGCAUCGAAUCUAGCAUUUCGUUUCGUCCGAUUUGACCUCCGAUUCACGACGAAAUCUGUCCGCUCUCCAAUUUCAAAAACCACACACAUAUAUCAAUGUGUAAUCCCGCUAGAUUCUUUAAUUCAAAUUCAAAUUUGAAUCUCCUACCACUAGUAGGUACAUGUAACAUCUCUCACCUUACUCUAGGUCACAUACACAGAUCACGAGGGGUGUCAUAAUGCAAGAAUAACAAAGAACGAAAACCCUCAUUUUGAUAAAACUCCUUUUUUUCUCGAAAACCGUGCAUCGGAUCUGAAAUCCGUCAAUGCCAUUGGUUCCAGAAUAGCUGAUCCAAUCGAAACGAGCUAUUGGACCGCUAUGAACGGAGUUCGAUACGCGCCGAUAGCCAGCUCUACUCCGUGGCUUCACCGAAAAACCGGAGUUACUAUUCACUUAAGUGAAAACUAAUAAUCGCGUAACUUCUCCGUUUUAGCUCAGUUUCUCCUGAAACUUGACGAGUGCUUAUGUAAUUAAAUUACACAUAUAAACAUCGUCAACAAAGAGUUUAGUAGCACAGUAAAAAUCUCAGUCCUUACACUGUCUGUCUGUGAUCUGUUUUGGACCCGACGAGGACGUCAGGGUCUAAACAGGGGGAGUUUGUAACGCCCCCAAUAGUCCCACAUCGGAUGGGAUACUGAUUCCGAUCAAUUUAUAUGAGGCCUACACGCUAGUAAUAAUAACUGGGCUUAAGCAUUUUGGGCCGGUGGUUUGGGCCCAACGAAUUAUUGUUGCUAGCGAGUCGGGUCGUUGCAUAUUUGGUGCUUUUGGAAGUAUUCUAGCUCAACUCUCUCUCUAUCUCUCUCUCUCUCUCUCUCUCUCUCUCUCUAUAUAUAUAUAUAUAUUAGUAAUUCAUCAAUAUUUAAUUAAAAAAUGGGUUUUAGGACUCAAUUGCAAUAAUUUAGAAAGUUUGAAAAAAAUAACAACAAAUUAAAGUUUUAGAGCUGAAAUGUCACUCUCCUUAUAGUUUGAGAACCAAAAGUGUAAUUUUUAAAGAUAUAUUACGUAUGCAACGAGCUUGAACUUUAGGUUGUUUGAAAAUAAAUACAUAUUCUUUAAUAAUAUCCCUUCAAAAGCGCCAACUGUUAAAAUUAUACAUAAGUGUCCUCCCAAAAAGUAUUUUAUUGAACAAUAUAAGAGGGAUAAAAGGAUAAAUUUAACUCAUUUACAAAUUAAAAUUAAAUAUCUUACUUAUGGUUAAGUAUAUUUUUCUAACGGAUCCUAACAGCAAGAAUACAUUUAAAAAUAUUAGAACUUUUAUAAAUAUAAAAAUAAAAGUUGAACUUUAUACGAAUAUAUGUGCUAUUCCAUACGUUUACAAGAACUUGAAUGUAAUUAACCCUCUUAAAGAAGGCCCGCAAUAAUAUUCUAAUAAUAGAUAAAUGCAAAAAGAAAUAGGAUGCUUUGCGUCCAUCCUCCUGGAUACAAAUGUGUAAGAACAACUCUUCCUACUCGUAGGUUGAGAGUUCGAGGAUGGAUACAACAAGACCCUUUAAACCCUUGAAGAGGUAUUCCAAAAUACCUUCUUUUGAACUAUAAUAAGAAUUUUAGGUCUUUGAAAGAUGAAUUUGCUAACAAUAUUUCAUAAAAUAUAGUUACUUAUGUGCUACAAUUUUAGACUUUUAAGAAGCAAAAUAUAAUUUUCUGAGACAGGAGCCAGAAUGUAAAAGCAGGUAUUUAUAAGAGAAAUUUCUGCAUUUUAGCCCUUUUUUCCUCAAAUGUUUUGAUUUUCACUCUUAAAUUUAUUAGAUUUUGAUAUAUUUUGGAUUAGACGUUACAUAUAAAAAUAGAAAAGUAUCACUUUCAUCCGGC
rnacentral:lncRNA from 1 species